CUACGGGAGGCUGCAGUGGGGAAUAUUGCACAAUGGAGGAAACUCUGAUGCAGCAACGCCGCGUGGAGGAUGACACUUUUCGGAGCGUAAACUCCUUUUAUAUAGGAAGAAGAUGACGGUACUAUAUGAAUAAGCGCCGGCUAACUCCGUGCCAGCAGCCGCGGUAAUACGGAGGGCGCAAGCGUUACUCGGAAUCACUGGGCGUAAAGGGCGUGUAGGCGGAUUAAAAAGUCAGAAGUGAAAUCCUAUAGCUUAACUAUAGAACUGCUUCUGAAACUCUUAAUCUAGAAUAUGGGAGAGGUAGAUGGAAUUUCUGGUGUAGGGGUACAAUCCGUAGAGAUCAGAAGGAAUACCGAUUGCGAAGGCGAUCUACUAGAACAUUAUUGACGCUGAGACGCGAAAGCGUGGGGAGCAAACAGGAUUGAUACCCCAGUAGUC
rnacentral:rRNA from 1 species